ensembl:snRNA U6 U6 spliceosomal RNA
GUGCUUGCUUUGGCAGCACAUACACUAAAAUUGGAAUGAUACAGAGAUUAGCAUGGCCCCUGCACAAGGAUGACAUGCCAAUUCAUGAAACAGUCCAUAUUUUU